AAUCAACGCUGGCGGCGUGCCUCAGACAUGCAAGUCGAACGCGAAAUUUCCCUUCGGGGAGAAAGUAGAGUGGCGCACGGGUGAGUAACACGUAGGUAAUUUGCCUUUGGGUGGGGAAUAACUCAGGGAAACUUGAGCUAAUACCGCAUAAUGCAGCGGCUCGACAUCGAGACAGUUGUUAAAGCGGGGGAUCGCAAGACCUCGCGCCUGAAGAGAAGCCUGCGGCAGAUUAGCUAGUUGGUAAGGUAAUGGCUUACCAAGGCGACGAUCUGUAACCGGCCUGAGAGGGCGGUCGGUCACACUGACACUGACAUACGGGUCAGACUCCUACGGGAGGCAGCAGUCGGGAAUUUUGGGCAAUGGGCGAAAGCCUGACCCAGCAACGCCGCGUGAAGGAUGAAA
rnacentral:rRNA from 1 species